rnacentral:lncRNA from 1 species
UAAUUUUCUGAUUUAUACAUAAACUCCAAAAUUCUAGGCUGAUUUAUUUGAAUUUUCUGCGCAGAUGAAGACUGGAAUAAGAAGAAUAGAAGUGUCACAUGCAAAAACAACAAAAAAAUGGUUUGUUUAUAUUCAUAAAUUAAAAGAAAAAUAGAUAACAUGCUGAGAUAUCUCAUAUCAUAUUAUACAAUUUCUGAAUCUCUAUUGUUUGAUGAUCAAAACACACCACAAAUGGAAAUUUAUGAAUGAAAUGAUUCUUCUAUUUGGUGAGAUGAAAAAUGAAAUGAUUUUUUGCUUAUAAAAAAGCAAUGAUUUUUUGCCAGAUUAAUUUUCAGCCGGUCACAUACUAUUAAAUCCAUGUUUAAGCUUUUAAAUGAAAAUGACAAGGUAUUGGAAAAAUAUGACAAAACAAAAACUAAUUAUCCUCAAUCAACUGCAAACCUUCUUAACAUCAAUAAAAGAUAUAGAUACAUAUUUUCUCUUCAUUUUCUCACCUUUUAGACAUAUAGAUUAUUAAACACAUUGACUACAAAAGUAACACAAAAAAUGAAAAACUAAAAAACGAAAAACUAAUAUGCGAAAAAAUUAAAGAUUUUAGUUUUAAGCGACACUUUGUGUAGAAAUUUAAAGAUUUACCAAAAACAAUGACAUAAACAACAAAAAGUGAAAAAGUGAUCAGCGAAAAAAUGAUGAUAUUUCUGAUUGAAGCAACACAUUGUGUAGAUAUUCACAAAUCUGCCAAAAUAAUGCCAAAAAAACACACUGACAAGAAACAUCCACAUUAACAAGCAUACAAAUAAUUAUAUGGAGGACGCUAGAAUUUAAGAUGCAUACUAGGGAAGAAGCCGAGAUCUGGAGCCGUCGUUUGAAACCCGGACGGCGGCGGCUGGAUACGGGCUAUGCAGAAGGAGACGGCGGAGCAUUCGUUGUCGGCGAGGAAGGAGGCGACGCCGCGUGGAGCGACGCAGUGCCUAGAUGAGAGGGCGGAGUGGGUGGAUUGGGGAUGUAGGGCUUUACCACCGUUCUGUCGCGAAAUCAGAUAGGUCGAGGGAGAUGGGAUUAAGAAAUAGAGGGUGAGGCAGAGGGAGAGAGAUGAAGAUGGAGAGCAUCGGCAGCCGUGGCUUGUGGAGAAGACUUGAAUUGUAGAAAAUGUUUGGAGCGUUGAAUCUGGAAAGUGAGAACGGCGGAUUGUAAUGAGAUUAGGGUAGAAUUUUGGGAGAAGUGGAGAACACUCUAGAAUUCAAAGGCAGCGGCUGAAACC